AACGCACAUUGCGCCCCUUGGUAUUCCGGGGGGCAUGCCUGUUCGAGCGUCAUUAUCACCCCUCAAGCUCAGCUUGGUGUUGGGGCCUGCCGUCAAAGGCAGCCCCUAAAAUCAGUGGCGGUGCCGUCAGGCUCUAAGCGUAGUAAUACUCCUCGCUAUAGGGUCCUGGUGGUGUCUUGCCAAAACCCCCCAUUUUUUCAUGAUUGACCUCGGAUCAGGUAGGGAUACCCGCUGAACUUAA
rnacentral:misc_RNA from 2 species